GAAACCCUGUCUCAGAAAAAACAAAACAAAACAAAAAACCAAAAAACCAAAAAACCAAAAACAACAAAAAAAAACCUUCCUUAGUAUCAAACAGUGGAUAUGAGAGGAUUUUAUUCUAGUGCUAUGCCACACCCGUUUUUGAUGUACAACUUAAAGAUUCUCACAUAGUUUCACAUGAAGCCUGUGUCUUUGAGUGAGAAUACUUUUAAAAUAAAAAAUAUUUUCUUUAUGCGUAUGUGUGUGUGCCCAAGUGUAUGUGGAGCACAUGCAUAUUGGAGCCCUCAGAGGGUAGAAGAGGAACUAUAGAUGCUUGUAAGCCACCAUGUGGGUGCUGGGUCGGAACCUGGGUCCCCUUUAAGAAUAUCAAGUUCACUUUAACAGGUGAGCCAUCUCUCCAGCCCCAGGAAAUCUUUUAGAUCUUUAGUAUAUAUAUCUUUAAUUUGCUUGAAAAAAAUGUAGUCUAUAUACAUUAUAUAUAAUGUAUUCCCUUUGGGUUAUGUGCUAAUGAAUUUCAAAUCUGAAAAUUAUUGACAAACUGGAAAAAGAUUUUAUAUAACUACAGAUCAACUUAAUAGUUAGUGAUUUUACAGUAUUCCUUCCUCUUACUUACAGAUUAUUGAAACCAUGCCCAUGACUGAGAAAGUGGAAGAGUUGCUGCAUGUUAUAGGUCCAUUUUACGAGAUUGUAGAAGACAAAAAGAGCAGCAAGAGUUCUGACUUGACCUCAGGUUGUAUGAUUUUUGUUUCUUUUUAAACCACACCAUCUCAUGAACAAGGUUGGAGCAGGCUGGCUUCCUUCCUCACUGCCCUGUACCUGGGAUCACAGGCGUGUUUAAUCCCACGUAGUGCUGUGUUACUUUUCCCUCUUAACUCAGCAGCUGAUAUAUUGUGCAUACACUAACCCCUAUAUGUCUAAUUUUCUCUUUUACUUUCACAUGCCAGUCCGAUUGGAGAAAAUCUCUAAGUACCUAGAAGGUAGGAAUAAUGAAAUCCAUGUAAAACUUUUGUUUAAAGUUUCCAAGGCAGUGGUGCUGGAGUGACGGCUCAGUGGUUAAGAACACAUCCUAUUUUGCAGAGGAGCAAGUAUGAUUCCCAGCACCUAUGUCAGGCAGCUUAUAUCUGCCUAUUACUCUGGCUCUAAGGCAUCACUGGGUGCCAUCUUGGCUUUGUGGCCACCUCCACACACACAUAGAAUACCCUCAUACUCACAUACCUGCAAACAUAAAAGUAAAGAUAAGUAAUGGGGUUGAAGAGAUGGCUGGCUGAGUGGUUAAGAGCACUGACUGCUCUUCCAGAGGUGCUGGGUUCACUUCUAGCACUGACAUGGUGCCUCACAACUGUCUCUAACUAUAGUUCUACAGAAUCUUGUGUCCUCUUUUGACCUCUGAGGGUACCAGGCAUGCAAAUGGUGCAUAGAUAUAUGUGCAGCCAAAACACCC
rnacentral:lncRNA from 1 species